rnacentral:lncRNA from 13 species
AGUUUAACACUGGCCCUCAUCAAUUUCACUCUACCCCUCAUCAGUUUAACAAUACCCCUCAUCAGUUUAACACUAGCCCUCAUCAGUUUAAUACUACUCCUCAUCACUUUAACCCUACUCCCCAUCAGUUUAACCCUACUCCCCAUCAGUUUAACCCUACUCCCAAUCAGUUUAACCCUACCUCCCAUCAGUUUAACCCUACUCCCCAUCAGUUUAACCCUACUCCCCAUCACUUUAACACUACUCCCCAUCAAUUUAACCCUACUCCCAAUCAGUUUAACCCUACCUCCCAUCAGUUUAACCCUACUCCCUAUCAAUUUAACUCUACCCCUCGUCAGUUUAACACUACCCCCCAUCAGUUUAACACUACCCCUCUUAAAUUUAACUCUGCCCCUCAUCAAUUUAACUCUACCCCUCAUCAGUUUAACCCUACUCCCCAUCAGAUUAGCUCUACAUCCCAUCAGUUUAACAAUACCCCUCAUCAGUUUAACCCUACUCCCUAUCAAUUUAACUCUACCCCUCGUCAGUUUAACACUACCCCCCAUCAGUUUAACACUACCCCUCUUAAAUUUAACUCUGCCCCUCAUCAAUUUAACUCUACCCCUCAUCAGUUUAACAAUACCCCUCAUCAAUUUAACUCUACCCCUCAUCAGUUUAACAAUACCCCUCAUCAGUUUAAAACUAGUCCUCAUCAGUUUAACACUAGUCCUCAUCAGUUUAACACUACCCCUCAUCAGUCUAACACUACCCGUCAUCAGUUUAACACUAGCCCUCAUCAGUUUAAUACUACUCCUCAACACUUUAACCCUACUCCGGGAACUUUUUAACCCUACUCCCAAUCAGUUUAACCCUACCUCCCAUCAGUUUAACCCUACUCCCCAUCAAUUUAACCAAACUCCCCAUCAGUUUAACCCUACUCCCCAUCAGUUUAACCCUACUCCCCAUCAGUUUAACUCUACCCCUCAUAACUUUAACACUACCCCUCAUCAAUUUAACUCUACCCCUCUUAAUCUUAACUCUACCCUUCAUCAGUUUAACACUACCCCCCAUCAGUUUAACUCUACCCCUCAUAACUUUAACACUACCCCUCAUCAAUUUAACUCUACCCCUCAUCAGUUUAAAACUACCCCUCAUCUGUUUAACAAUACCCCUCAUCAGUUUAACCCUACUCCCCAUCAGUUUAACCCUACUCCCCAUCAAUUUAUCUCUACCCCUC